AGUGAACGCUGGCGGUAGGCCUAACACAUGCAAGUCGAACGGCAGCACAGUAAGAGCUUGCUCUUACGGGUGGCGAGUGGCGGACGGGUGAGGAAUACAUCGGAAUCUACUUUUUCGUGGGGGAUAACGUAGGGAAACUUACGCUAAUACCGCAUACGACCUACGGGUGAAAGCAGGGGAUCUUCAGACCUUGCGCGAUUGAAUGAGCCGAUGUCGGAUUAGCUAGUUGGCGGGGUAAAGGCCCACCAAGGGGACGAUCCGUAGCUGGUCUGAGAGGAUGAUCAGCCACCCUAGAACUGAGACACGGACAAGACUCCUACGGGAGGGAGCAGUGGGGAAUAUUAGACAAUGGGCGCAAGCCUGAUCCAGCCAUACCGCGUGGGUGAAGAAGGCCUCCGGGUUGUAAAGCCCUUUUGUUGGGAAAGAAAAGCAGCAGGUUAAUACCCCGCUGUUCUGACGGUACCCAAAGAAUAAGCACCGGCUAACUUCGUG
rnacentral:rRNA from 1 species